CGAGACGACGCUGGCGGCGUGCUAACUACACUGCAAGUCGAACGGAAAGGCCCCGACCGUUGUGGGGUGGCUCGAGUGCGAACGGGUGAGUAACACGUGGUGAUCUGCCCUGUACUUCGGGAUAAGCUUGGGAAACUGGUCGUAAUACCGGAUAGGACCAUGGUUUAGUGUCUCAUGGUGGAAAGAUUAUGUUUUGGUGCAGGAUGAGCUCGCGGCCUAUCAGCUUGUUGUGGGGUAAUGGCCUACCAAGGCGUCGACGGGUAGCCGGCCUGAGAGGGUGGACGGCCACAUUGGGACUGAGAUACGGCCCAGACUCCUACGGGAGGCAGCAGUGGGGAAUAUUGUACAAUGGGCGCAAGCCUGAUGCAGCGACGCCGCGUGGGGGAUGACGGCCUUCGGGUUGUAAACUCCUUUCGUUAGGGACGAAGCCACACCUUUUUUGGGUGUGGUGACGGUACCUUUGUUAAGAAGCACCGGCUAACUACGUG
rnacentral:rRNA from 1 species